AUUUCAAUGGACUUUGAAAAGCCAUUCCCCCACCCGACCCCCAGGUAAGAGCCUAGAGAGAAAGUUUAAAGGGAGGAUCCCAGGAGAGAGGACCCCCUGAGUUCCUUUCAGGUGGAACAGCUGACUCUCUGGUUGGUGGGUUACCCAGGGUCUUUCCUUCUUCCUCUUGACUCUUACAUGGCCUUUUUAGCUAUUUAUUGCCAGAGGAAAAUACCAAGAUGCUGAAGUCAGAAAUAAAACAACACCUGUUGGGCAAGAGCCCCCUGAGGAGACUCUUUGGAUUUUAAAGACCCAAACAAUCCCAAUCCCCUUGGGACAAGGGCCUCCUUCCCUGGGCCCCCGGGGCACACCCACCCACACAGGUGAGGGACUGUUCCUGGCACGGAAGACAUUCCCUCCCCUAACCAUUAACUUUCUCUCAGGUCUUUCUGGCCCCUGGCCUGGUAUGAGCUAAGCGUCCAGGCAGAUUUCUUUAACUCACCAGGCCGCCCCUCUGUGGGAGAGGAAGGGGAAAUUGAGUUUUGGCAAAGACACAAAGAUUCUGUGAUUAAAACCAAGAAGUUCCUUGUGUGAAAAAGAAAAGUCUGUGUAUGAGCAAAGGCUGAAUCGAACAACGAAGUCAGGUUGUCAUGUUAAGAUCAGAGGACAGCUCCCUUAAGACACUCUUGAGAGGAGUUAUUUUGGGAUGGUGGAGACUACAGGGGAUGAAAAGAAGUCACCUCAUACUCAUGAGCCACUGUAUUUGUGGAGUUUUUAUGUCUAUAAAGUACUUAACAAUG